rnacentral:tRNA from 1 species
GCCUGGCUGGCUCGGUCAGUAGAGCAUGCGACUCUUGAUCUCAGGGUUGUGAAUUCAAACCCCAUGUUGGGCG